GAUGAACGCUGGCGGCGUGCCUAAUACAUGCCAGUCGAGCGAACAGACGAGGAGCUUGCUCCUCUGACGUUAGCGGCGGACGGGUGAGUAACACGUGGAUAACCUACCUAUAAGACUGGGAUAACUUCGGGAAACCGGAGCUAAUACCGGAUAACAUGUUGAACCGCAUGGUUCAACAGUGAAAGACGGUCUUGCUGUCACUUAUAGAUGGAUCCGCGCCGCAUUAGCUAGUUGGUAAGGUAACGGCUUACCAAGGCAACGAUGCGUAGCCGACCUGAGAGGGUGAUCGGCCACACUGGAACUGAGACACGGUCCAGACUCCUACGGGAGGCAGCAGUAGGGAAUCUUCCGCAAUGGGCGAAAGCCUGACGGAGCAACGCCGCGUGAGUGAAGAAGGUCUUCGGAUCGUAAAACUCUGUUAUUAGGGAAGAACAAAUGUGUAAGUAACUAUGCACGUCUUGACGGUACCUAAUCAGAAAGCCACGGCUAACUACGUG
rnacentral:rRNA from 1 species